rnacentral:rRNA from 1 species
GAUUAGGAGACGUUGAAUACAAAACACCACCAUCGGUGCGGUCGUCCUUGGCGGUCGGUUUCGGCCGGCCGCGGGGGCGGCUUAGCCCGGUGGCACCGGUGAAUGACUCC